rnacentral:rRNA from 1 species
CAGUCGCCGCGGGAAUACGAAGGGUGCAAGCGUUACUCGGAAUUACUGGGCGUAAAGCGUGCGUAGGUGGUGGUUUAAGUCCGUUGUGAAAGCCCUGGGCUCAACCUGGGAAUUGCAGUGGAUACUGGGUCACUAGAGUGUGGUAGAGGAUAGUGGAAUUUCCGGUGUAGCAGUGAAAUGCGUAGAGAUCGGGAGGAACAUCAGUGGCGAAGGCGGCCAUCUGGGACAACACUGACGCUGAGGCACGAAGGCGUGGGGAGCAAACAGGAUUAGAUACCCCAGUAGUCCCUGUCUCUUAUAC